CCUACGGGAGGCAGCAGUGAGGAAUAUUGGUCAAUGGUCGGGAGACUGAACCAGCCAAGUCGCGUGAGGGAUGAAGGUACAGAGUAUCGUAAACCUCUUUUGUCAGGGAACAAAGGCGGGGACGUGUCCCCGGAUGAGUGUACCUGAAGAAAAAGCAUCGGCUAACUCCGUGCCAGCAGCCGCGGUAAUACGGAGGAUGCGAGCGUUAUCCGGAUUUAUUGGGUUUAAAGGGUGCGCAGGCGGUCUGUUAAGUCAGCGGUCAAAGCCCGGGGCUCAACCCCGGCCCGCCGUUGAAACUGGCAGUCUUGAGUGGGCGAGAAGUAUGCGGAAUGCGCGGUGUAGCGGUGAAAUGCAUAGAUAUCGCGCAGAACUCCGAUUGCGAAGGCAGCAUGCCGGCUCCACACUGACGCUGAGGCACGAAAGCGUGGGUAUCGAACAGGAUUAGAUACCCUAGUAGUC
rnacentral:rRNA from 1 species